AAGGGAGACCUAAUUCAGGUAUGGGACGAAAAAAAAGUAGUCGCUACCAAGAAUCAAUCCCAAAAGGUCGGAGCGAGGUAUGAGGCUUUCAAACUAGGUUCUGGGUUCAAACAAGACCUGAAUCAGGAACAAGGGCUAUUAGCUCAGGUGGUUAGAGCGCACCCCUGAUAAGGGUGAGGUCCCUGGUUCGAGUCCAGGAUGGCCCACCUGCACAGGUGGCAAAAACAAGGGAAGCUCCGAAUCAGCACCUUAUCUUACUCAUAUAGUAAGAGAGAAUGCUGGCUCUGAGUAAAGAGUCCAGAGGAACCUUGAAAACUGCAUAGAGCUAGGUGAAAAAGCCAAAAAAGAAGACCGCAA
rnacentral:tRNA from 1 species